CACGUAGGGGACGAGCGUUGUCCGGAUUCAUUGGGCGUAAAGCGCGCGUAGGCGGCUCGGAAAGUCGGGCGUGAAAUCCCUCGGCUUAACCGGGGAACUGCGUCUGAUACUGGAUGGCUAGAGUUUGGGAGAGGGAUGCGGAAUUCCAGGUGUAGCGGUGAAAUGCGUAGAUAUCUGGAGGAACACCGGUGGCGAAGGCGGCAUCCUGGACCGAAACUGACGCUGAUGCGCGAAAGCCAGGGGAGCAA
rnacentral:rRNA from 1 species